AAGAAGAAAUAUGGGCCUGGGCCUAUCCUUAACCCUUGAAGAGGCCUGGGCCCAAAGAAGAAGAAAUAUGGGCCUGGGCCAAUCCCAAAACCUUGAGGAGGCCUGGUCCCACAGAAGAAGAAAUAUGGGCCUGGGCCAAUCCCUGACCCUGAAGAGGCCUGGGCCUAAAGGAACAACUGAUGUGGUCCUGGGCCUAUCCCUAACCGUUGAAGAGGCCUGGGUCCAAAGAAGAAGAAAUACAGGCCUGGGUCAAUCCCUGACCCUGAAGAGGCCUGGGCCCCAAAAAAUGUGAUGUGGGCCUGGGCCAAUCUUUACCCCUUGUCGAAGCCUGACCCCAAAAAUAAGAAAUAUGGGCCUGGGCCAAUAUGAAGAAGUGAUGUGGGCCAGGUCCUAUCCCUAACCCUUGAAGAGGCCUGGCCCCAAAGAAGAAGAAAUAUCGACCUGAGCCAAUCCCUGACCUUGAACAGGCCUCGGCCAAAAUUAAGAGAUGGGGCCUCGGACUAUCCUUAGUCCUUAAGAGACUCAGGCCCAGCAUAUGAGAGAUGUGGACCUAGGCCUAUUUCUGACCUUCAAGAAGCCUGGGUCCUAAUCAAGUAUGGGUUAUAGAUUAGGCUUUUUCUUCAAAUAACAAGGCUUGGGCCAAAUGAUUAUUGCCAAUCUCAACCCUUUCGAUAUAGUUUGGCCCAAAUGUAAUAUCUAAAUUGUCUUGUAUUUACUCUUACUCAAGGAAGCCUUGUCCCAAACAAAUAAGUGUGGCUAGUUCAAGCCUAAAAUGAAACAACACUGUGGUUAGUAUACCAUGAAGUGAUCUGAUUCAAUGUCUUAAUUUCAACUGAUACUAUGAUUAUCUAUGCCUAGGCCAUACCCACUACUCUAGGAUGGUUUGGCACAACCACAAGAGGUGCUGGUCUGAGGAGUGCAAUAAUGUCAAAGACCAUAGUGUGACAUCAGAGGGAUCCUGGCAGCUCCCUGACUACAGAGUACCCAAGGUCCAGCUUAAAUUCAAUUGUGUGUGGGCUACUCCCUCCCUUAUUAAGAUCCUUGACAACUUUCACUACAAGGAAGCCAGGACCACAACAAGGCCUUGUAGUCUUACAUUAUUCUUUAGCAGACGUUUCGUGCUCCAGCAUUGUGUACAUAGUUUUCAAUAAAUAUAAUGUUCAUCUGCUA
rnacentral:sRNA from 1 species